UUAUUUUCAUUAAUUCAUAUUAAUUUUAAUAUUGAUCCAAAAAAUAUGAUAGUUUCACUAAAGUUUUUAAAAUAAAUUCCUCUUUCAUUUUCUGAAUUAAAAUUAUUUUUUGGAUCAUUAUUAAUAUUUGUCAUGAUUUAAUUGUUUUUGUGAAUAUUUUUAAUUGUUUAAAAAAUUAAUGAAUUUUUUUCUCCAAGGACCUUUGACUUUGUUUGACCAUUUAUA
rnacentral:lncRNA from 1 species